GUGAUUGCUUUGGUGGUGCACACACUAAAAUUGGAGCAACACAGAGAUUACCAUGGUCCCUGUGCAAGGAUGACUCUCAAAUUCAUGAAUCAUUCCAUACUCUU